rnacentral:rRNA from 1 species
AUGCUGGAGGUAUCAGAAGUGCGAAUGCUGACAUAAGUAACGAUAAAGCGGGUGAAAAGCCCGCUCGCCGGAAGACCAAGGGUUCCUGUCCAACGUUAAUCGGGGCAGGGGGAGUCGACCCCUAAGGCGAGGCCGAAAGGCGUAGUCGAUGGGAAACAGGUUAAUAUUCCUGUACUUGGUGUUACUGCGAAGGGGGGACGGAGAAGGCUAUGUUGGCCGGGCGACGGUUGUCCCGGUUUAAGCGUGUAGGCUGGUUUUCCAGGCAAAUCCGGAAAACCAAGGCUGAGGCGUGAUGACGAGGCACUACGGUGCUGAAGCAACAAAUGCCCUGCUUCCAGGAAAAGCCUCUAAGCAUCAGGUAACAUCAAAUCGUACCCCAAACCGACACAGGUGGUCAGGUAGAGAAUACCAAGGCGCUUGAGAGAACUCGGGUGAAGGAACUAGGCAAAAUGGUGCCGUAACUUCGGGAGAAGGCACGCUGAUAUGUAGGUGAAGUCCCUCGCGGAUGGAGCUGAAAUCAGUCGAAGAUACCAGCUGGCUGCAACUGUUUAUUAAAAACACAGCACUGUGCAAACACGAAAGUGGACGUAUACGGUGUGACGCCUGCCCGGUGCCGGAAGGUUAAUUGAUGGGGUUAGCGCAAGCGAAGCUCUUGAUCGAAGCCCCGGUAAACGGCGGCCGUAACUAUAACGGUCCUAAGGUAGCGAAAUUCCUUGUCGGGUAAGUUCCGACCUGCACGAAUGGCGUAAUGAUGGCCAGGCUGUCUCCACCCGAGACUCAGUGAAAUUGAACUCGCUGUGAAGAUGCAGUGUACCCGCGGCAAGACGGAAAGACCCCGUGAACCUUUACUAUAGCUUGACACUGAACAUUGAGCCUUGAUGU